UCCUGGAUAAUAAAUAAAAAUAUACUUAUUGUUGUAUGAAAAUUACAAUAUUUAUUCUGCGAUUAACAUAUGAGAAUAAUAUAUUCAAUUAAAUUGCUUACCUUCUACGUCUGAACCGUCAAAAUAAUUUAGAAACAACCUAAGGAUUAUAAAUGAAGACGUUUGGUACACCAUUUUAGUACGUUAUUUUUUUUAGAUUUAUUUCACACACGGAAAAGGAAAAAAAGCGAAUUAUAUAAAUAUUAAAAUAUUAAAAACCUUGUGUACGCACGAAUAGUAUAAUUAUUAUGUUGGUGACAGAUCACUUUCGCGAUGAAUUCCGUAUUACAUUACUCGUAUUUGUUCGAAAUAAAAAAUACACAAAUAUAUUAUAUAUUCGAAAAAUAUCGCUGAAAUUCAGAUUUUCUGGUAUAGGUAAUGUACAUUGAAUUAUUUUAUCGAAUUUGUUCAAAACUAAAAAGACUGCUCUCUAAUAAUAACCUAUUCGACAGCCGCAUACGCGACACACUAAUAAUACGGUUC